rnacentral:rRNA from 1 species
UUUAAUUGAAGAGUUUGAUCAUGGCUCAGAUUGAACGCUGGCGGCAGGCCUAACACAUGCAAGUCGAACGGUAACAGGGAGCAGCUUGCUGCUCUGCUGACGAGUGGCGGACGGGGGGGUAAA